UACAGAGGUCUCAAGCGUUGUUCGGAUUCAUUGGGCGUAAAGGGUGCGUAGGCGGCGCGGUAAGUCGGGUGUGAAAUCUCGGAGCUUAACUCCGAAACUGCAUUCGAUACUGCCGUGCUUGAGGACUGGAGAGGAGACUGGAAUUUACGGUGUAGCGGCGAAAUGCGUAGAUAUCGUAAGGAAGACCAGUGGCGAAGGCGGGUCUCUGGACAGUUCCUGACGCUGGAGGCACGAAGGCCAGGGGAGCAAACGGG
rnacentral:rRNA from 1 species